GACGAACGCUGGCGGCGUGCUUAACACAUGCAAGUCGAACGGAAAGGCUCCAGCUUGCUGGAGUACUCGAGUGGCGAACGGGUGAGUAACACGUGGGUAAUCUGCCCUGCACUCUGGGAUAAGCCUGGGAAACUGGGUCUAAUACUGGAUAUGACCUUUCUCCUUAUGGGGUUUGGUGGAAAGUUUUUCGGUGUAGGAUGAGCCCGCGGCCUAUCAGCUUGUUGGUGGGGUGAUGGCCUACCAAGGCGACGACGGGUAGCCGGCCUGAGAGGGUGAUCGGCCACAUUGGGCCUGAGAUACGGCCCAGACUCCUACGGGAGGCAGCAGUGGGGAAUAUUGCACAAUGGGCGGAAGCCUGAUGCAGCGACGCCGCGUGAGGGAUGACGGCCUUCGGGUUGUAAACCUCUUUCAGCAGGGACGAAGCGUAAGUGACGGUACCUGCAGAAGAAGCACCGGCUAACUACGUG
rnacentral:rRNA from 1 species